GCAUUCGUGCCCGAGUGGUCUAAGGGGGCCGUCUCAAGAACGGCUAUCGCAAGAUGCGUGGGUUCGAACCCCACCGGAUGCA
rfam:Entamoeba invadens IP1 unplaced genomic scaffold scaff_1105074725471, whole genome shotgun sequence.